AACGAACGCUGGCGGCAGGCUUAACACAUGCAAGUCGAGCGCCCCGCAAGGGGAGCGGCAGACGGGUGAGUAACGCGUGGGAAUCUACCCAUCUCUACGGAAUAACGCAUGGAAACGUGUGCCAAUACCGCAUACGUCCUUCGGGAGAAAGAUUUAUCGGAGAUGGAUGAGCCAGCGUUGGAUUAGCUAGUUGGUGGGGUAAAGGCCUACCAAGGCGACGAUCCAUAGCUGGUCUGAGUAGAUGAUCAGCCACACUGGGACUGAGACACGGCCCAGACUCCUACGGGAGGCAGCAGUGGGGAAUAUUGGACAAUGGGCGCAAGCCUGAUCCAGCCAUGCCGCGUGAGUGAUGAAGGCCCUAGGGUUGUAAAGCUCUUUCACCGGUGAAGAUAAUGACGGUAACCGGAGAAGAAGCCCCGGCUAACUUCGUGCCAGCCGCCGCCGUAACAC
rnacentral:rRNA from 1 species